rnacentral:rRNA from 2 species
GGGAUGAGCUCAAAUUUAAAAUCUGGCUGGUUUACUAGUCCGAAUUGUAGUUUAUAGAAGCGUUUUCGGUGGCAGCCUGGGUAUAAAUCCUUUGGAAUAGGGUAUCAUAGAGGGUGAGAAUCCCGUCUUUGACUCAGUGCAUGCUACUAUGUGAUACGUUUUCAAAGAGUCGAGUUGUUUGGGAAUGCAGCUCAAAAUGGGUGGUAAAUUUCAUCUAAGGCUAAAUAUUGGCGAGAGACCGAUAGCGAACAAGUACCGUGAGGGAAAGAUGAAAAGAACUUUGAAAAGAGAGUUAAACAGUGCGUGAAAUUGUUGAAAGGGAAACGCUUGACACCAGUUAUGCGGGUGGAAAAUCAGUCUUUUGCAAUGGGGAGUUGUGGGCGUUCAGACCGCAAGGCUGGCGUUUGCUUCAUCUUUGUUGUAAGUGAUGCACUUUUUCAUUUGCAGGUCAACAUCAGUUUGCUUUGCUGGACAAAACCCCAAGGGAAGGUGACAGCUUAGGCUGUGUUAUAGCCCUGGGGCGAUACAGUGGAGUGGACUGAGGUUUCGCAGUGUGUGCUCUCGGGCAAGGCUGACUGGGUGCUAUGGGAUCGUUCGGCGUACAAUGCAUGCAUUUUGCGUCGUGUCUUUUUCAUACUCGCUCAACUCGGCUCUUCCACGCUUAGGAUGUUGACUUAAUGGUUUUAAUCGACCCGUCUUGAAACACGGACCAAGGAGUCUAACAUAUAUGCAAGUGUUUGGGUGGCAAACCCAUGCGCGUAAUGAAAGUGAACGUAGGUGCCAUCCGCAAGGUGCAGCAU